rnacentral:rRNA from 1 species
UACGUCGGGACCCAGCGUUGUUCGGAUUUACUGGGCGUAAAGGGCGCGUAGGCGGCUUGUUAAGUCACUUGUGAAAUCUCUGAGCUUAACUCAGAACGGUCAAGUGAUACUGAUGUGCUAGAGUGCAGAAGGGGCAACCGGAAUUCUUGGUGUAGCGGUGAAAUGCGUAGAUAUCAAGAGGAACACCUGAGGUGAAGACGGGUUGCUGGGCUGACACUGACGCUGAGGCGCGAAAGCUAGGGUAGCAAACGGG